CCGCCGCCUGCCGGAGCCGGCUGCCGCGGCGCUGGCUGCUCGCUGCCGCUCUAGCUCAUGGGCAGCGAUGCGGCGGGGGAAGAGAGAGACACGCAGAGCGAGGCGGAGGAUGGGUGAAACUCAGCGCUGGGAAACUUAGCACUAAGCUCCUGCUGAAAUACCGCCCGGAUGGGUCAUUUCGGAGGUGGAGAAGGCAGGAAUCACCUGAAAGCGUUUAAGGCAAAUGAGACUCAACCAAGGAGAACCAGCCUCAACUAGAAAAACACCUCCCCCCCCCGGAAUUGUAACGAAGCCAACAGUUGUGAAGAACAAUAAAUGAGCGAAACUAAGUCUGGUAAUGAGUUUCUGGAUUAAAAUUCAGCCCAGGACUGAGCGAAAGUAAACUACAAUGGCACUGCUGAUGUUUAUAUCCUAUUACAAGGAUGAGUUUCCCGAGUUUGCACCUGACAAAGCAUGUGUUACAUCUAUGUAGUAAUUCUAACGUUUUACCCCAAGCUUUUACUUAGAUUUGUUUAUGAAAUGUUGAUUUUUCCCUGGCUAACAGAUUUCAUUUGUAUUCUCUGGUAGGUAGGCAUGAUAUUAACAUUUAUUAAUUACUCUAUUUGAGCAUUUAUUUAAACUUACAAGUGUUCUAACAAAAUGCAAAGCACAUAAUAUAAAGAACUCCAUAAACCAACUGUCCAAUGAGAGUAAUUACUCAUCAUCUGAUUAAGCCAGGCCCCUCAUAUCCCUCAACCCAUCCAUCCCUGAAGGCCUGGAGGGGGAAAAAAAAAAGGAAAAAAAAAAAAGCUCUGCAGCAUGUCUGGAAGAUUACCAGAUCUGAGCUCUGGCUGAUGCUUCUUAUAGUUCUGCUGCUGCUGUUAAAUCACUUAGGAGAAGCAGUAACACUGACAGAAAAAUUGCUUUCACCAACACCGUUUUUACUGAAUCUUUUAGCCUUGAACAAGUUUCUGCCAAACAGUUGGCUUCCCUCAUUUACGCAGUUGUAACCAAAAGUGUCCUCUGGCUUAUGGCGUUUCUUUCUUCUGAAUACUGUGAUCAAGAGAAGCUAAUAGAGCAGGGAUGUGCUAUACCUUUUGAGGCAUAAUCUCCACACUAAAUCACUUUAUGGGUGAGAGGCAUAUGAUUGCGAGAAGUGAGCGGAGGAGAAGCUUGUGAGUCGUUCACAGACAUGGAUGGCUCCUCAGGGCUUCCACUGUUCCUUUGCAGCAGAGACCAAAGAGUGUAGCUUGUUCCAGAAAUAGUCUAGCAAUGAGUAGACAUUCAGAGUUAGAACCGAUACUAGAUUAAGAUCUUCAGCCCUUUUCACAUAUAGCAUGCAAAAGACGGCAAAUGGUAGUAAUUUCUAGCCAAUAUUCAAACAAGUGAUUUAGAACUCAAAGGGUUUAUCCUGCAUUUAUGAGUGUGUU